AUUGAACGCUGGCGGCAGGCCUAACACAUGCAAGUCGAGCGGAUGAAGGGAGCUUGCUCCUGGAUUCAGCGGCGGACGGGUGAGUAAUGCCUAGGAAUCUGCCUGGUAGUGGGGGAUAACGUCCGGAAACGGGCGCUAAUACCGCAUACGUCCUGAGGGAGAGAGUGGGGGAUCUUCGGACCUCACGCUAUCAGAUGAGCCUAGGUCGGAUUAGCUAGUUGGUGGGGUAAAGGCCUACCAAGGCGACGAUCCGUAACUGGUCUGAGAGGAUGAUCAGUCACACUGGAACUGAGACACGGUCCAGACUCCUACGGGAGGCAGCAGUGGGGAAUAUUGGACAAUGGGCGAAAGCCUGAUCCAGCCAUGCCGCGUGUGUGAAGAGGGUCUUCGGAUUGUAAAGCACUUUAAGUUGGGAGGAAGGGCAGCAAGUUAAUACCUUGCUGUUUUGACGUUACCAACAGAAUAAGCACCGGCUAACUUCGUG
rnacentral:rRNA from 1 species